rnacentral:rRNA from 1 species
AUGCUAGGAAACCUAGGUGAAAAACCUGGGGUGCCCUGCGAAGGGAACCCCUAGCACAGGUGCUGCAUGGCCGUCGUCAGCUCGUGUCGUGAGAUGUUGGGUUAAGUCCCGCAACGAGCGCAACCCCUGCCGUUAGUUGCCAGCGGGUGAGGCCGGGCACUCUAACGGGACUGCCUGCGAAAGCAGGAGGAAGGCGGGGACGACGUCUGGUCAUCAUGGCCCUUACGGCCUGGGCGACACACGUGCUACAAUGCCCACUACAGAGCGAGGCGACCUGGCAACAGGGAGCGAAUCGCAAAAAGGUGGGCGUAGUUCGGAUUGGGGUCUGCAACCCGACCCCAUGAAGCCGGAAUCGCUAGUAAUCGCGGAUCAGCCAUGCCGCGGUGAAUACGUUCCCGGGCCUUGUACACACCGCCCGUCACGCCAUGGGAGCGGGUUCUACCCGAAGUCGCCGGGAGCCUUAGGGCAGGCGCCGAGGGUAGGGCCCGUGACUGGGGCGAAGUCGUAACAAGGUAA